rnacentral:lncRNA from 1 species
AGUCCCAAAAGGCACCGUAUUGAGGAGAGCUGGGAUCCGACACAGCCUGCACCAGCUCCGAGAGUCUUUCCACAUUCUGCUGUCUCAGGGCAAAGCCCUCUCAAUUUCUCACCAGGCUUGGAGUCCCAUUCUGCCCUUCCGCGGAUCUGCUGUCAUGUGACGGAUCACAUGAGCUCUAUAUUCCACCACCACUACCCCUCUGCCUAGUAACUAGUGACGGUACUGGCUCCUCCCUUGCAUGGGUGGUCCCAAAUGCUAGGCAAGGGUGGGGCCGCCACCCGGAUUCUCCCCUCUGGCCAGUCAAGCACUGAGUAAGCCCAGGGCUCCCCACCUGCGUCCUGAGCCUGGUCCCCUGGGAAUCACCACAAGUGAGUGGGCUGUAGAGACCCACAGACUGGGGUUCUUCCUAGCUGUAUGACAUCAGCAAAAUAACCUCUCAGAGCCUAGGUUUCUGCAUUUACAAUAUGGAGACUUAUAUAAAAGUGAUCUGCCU